rnacentral:lncRNA from 1 species
CUAGAAAACCUUUAAGGCAAGAGCCCAAGGAAUCAGCCAUUUCUGUUAUCUUCAUAAACUCAUCUAAUUGUCUAGAGUCUCUGAUUUAGGUCUUGCCUCUUGAUUCCUGCCUUGAGUUCCUGCUCUGACUUAGCACAGUGUUGAACUGUGAUAUGGGACUUGUAAAGUGAAGCAGACUUUUUAUCCACAAGUUAAUUUUGAAAUCUUGCCACGUGGCCACAGGAAUGGUUUGAGGCAUGAUCUGCAGUCGGAAAAAACAUGCUGAGUUACCAACUUGCCUGAUCAGGGUCAUUGGGAUUACACGUGAAUGCUACUAAGUUCAGCUUCAUGAGGACUCUGAGGAUCCAAACUCAGCUGCGGAUCAUGGUGCCUACGGACAGCACAUGAUUUUGUAAUGAUAGACCAUGUUAGCAAGAAGUUUGGAGGCCCCUGCAACAGAGAUGCAUUCCUUAUUUAGAAGCUCAUAGAUUCUGCAUUAUUGAGGCAACAACCCACUCCCAGAAGCUGCAAUCUGCUGCACCCCCAGCCAUGGUUCCCUGAAGGUAAGGGUGUAUCUCUAUUUUCACUGUCUGGGAGGCAAUAGAAGCACCUGCUAUGGUCCAGGAAUUAGUUGCAAGAAUGAUUCCUUGGAUUAAUUUGAAGGCCAUGGUGGUAUUCCCAUGAAACAUUUUGAUUUUUGCUCCUCUGGGACACCCCAGCUGGGUGCAGCCAGGCUCAGCCCAUCACUAGGACUUCCUGAACCAAGGGGAUCUGAUAGACCUCUGAAUUAAAAAAAAAAAAAAAACAAAACAAAACAAAAAAACAAAAAAACAAAAAAAAAACCCAUGCUGGUUCAUCGGCAUCCACUGCUCCAAUAUGCUGGCCAGUGCCAUUAUCUAUUAAGUCUUAUUUAGUGUUUUGAUACUAUUUUCUGCAUACAUAGCCUGUCAACUUCUCCUGAACAAAGUAUUUGAGAUAGUUACUAUUCCAAAUUUGGGUUCUGUGUGUCAACAGUCCUAUACAAAUAUGUUAACUGUAAAAACAAAACAAAACAAAAACCAAACUAAACCACCACAACAAAAAACCUAAAAUAUUCUUAAUGAAUUAAUUGUACUGAGAUAAUAGGCUUUUUUUCCAUGAAAACACAGAGGAGUUUAAACAUCAAAAGGAUUCAACAUCUAUUGAGGACCUGCAAAUUACUGGCCACUAUAAUGGGUGCUGGGAAUAGAGGCAUGAAUUAGCAAUGACUCUUGAUAUGCAGGAGAAAAGUGAAGGACAAAGACUUCCAAACAGAAAUUGAGUUUGUGUUGGUUGGAGAUAGGUGGCAGAGCUAGGUCACGUAAAGAUUCUGGCAUACAUGUAAGAGGUGUUUUCUUUUCAAAAGGUAGUUAGCUAGUUACAUUUGGUUUCAAUGCAAAGUAAAAUAUUGCUAUGUGAGGGCGUUACACUCCUCUUUAUCAAGCUCCUAGGGGUGCCU